rnacentral:rRNA from 1 species
UACGGAGGGUGCGAGCGUUGUUCGGAAUCACUGGGCGUAAAGGGCGUGUAGGCGGCCCGCUAAGUCUGAUGUGAAAGCCCGGGGCUCACCCCCGGAAGUGCAUUGGAAACUGGCGGACUCGAGUCCCGGAGAGGAGAGUGGAAUUCCUGGUGUAGCGGUGAAAUGCGUAGAUAUCUGGAGGAACACCGGUGGCGAAGGCGGCAUCCUGGACCGACACUGACGCUGAGGAGCGAAAGCCAGGGGAGCAAACGGG